AACGUAGGAGGCAAGCGUUAUCCGGAUUUACUGGGCGUAAAGCGCAUGUAGGUGGUUCCGUAAGUUGGAUGUGAAAGCUCCUGGCUCAACUGGGAGAGGUCGUUCAAGACUGCGGGACUUGAGAGUGGUAGAGGGAGGUGGAAUUCCGGGUGUAGUGGUGAAAUGCGUAGAUAUCCGGAGGAACACCAGUGGCGAAAGCGGCCUCCUGGACCAUUUCUGACACUCAGAUGCGAAAGCUAAGGUAGCAAACGGG
rnacentral:rRNA from 1 species